rnacentral:rRNA from 1 species
AUUGAACGCUGGCGGCAGGCUUAACACAUGCAAGUCGAGCGAGCGGCGGCCGGGUGAGUAAUGUCUGGGAAACUGCCUGAUGGAGGGGGAUAAAUACUGGAAACGGUAGCUAAUACCGCAUACCAUCAGAUGUGACAAGAAGGGAAUAGCGAGUAGGGUGGGUAAUGGCGCACCUAGGCGACGAGCCCUAGCUGGUCUGAGCGGAUGACCAGCCACACUGGAACUUAGACACGGUCCAGACUCCUACGGGAGGCAGCAGUGGGGAAUAUUGCACAAUGGGCGCAAGCCUGAUGCAGCCAUGCCGCGUGUGUGAAGAAGGCCUUCGGGUUGUAAAGCACUUUCAGCGAGGAGGCGUUACUCGCAGAAGAAGCACCGGCUAACUCCGUGCCAGCAGCCGCGGUAAUUC